UUCAUAAUAACUAAACGAAUCGCAUGGCCUUGCGCCGGCGAUGGUUCAUUCAAAUUUCUGCCCUAUCAACUUUCGAUGGUAGAGUAGUGGUCUACCAUGGUCUCAACGGGUAACGGGGAAUUAGGGUUCUAUUCCGGAGAGGGAGCCUGAGAAACGGCUACCACAUCCAAGGAAGGCAGCAGGCGCGCAAAUUACCCAAUCCCAAUUCGGGGAGGUAGUGACAAUAAAUACUGAUACAGGGCUCUUUUGGGUCUUGUAAUUGGAAUGAGUACAAUCUAAAUCCCUUAACGAGGAACAAUUGGAGGGCAAGUCUGGUGCCAGCAGCCGCGGUAAUUCCAGCUCCAAUAGCGUAUAUUAAAGUUGUUGCCGUUAAAAAGCUCGUAGUUGAACCUUGGGCCUGGCUGAUCUGUCCUCCUAAUCGAGCGCACGGAUUCGGUCGGGCCUUUCCUUCUGGGGAGCCGCAUGCCCUUCACUGGGCGUGUCGGGGAACCAGGACUUUUACCUUGAAAAAAUUAGAGUGUUCAAAGCAGGCCUUUGCUCGAAUACAUUAGCAUGGAAUAAUAGAAUAGGACAGAGGUUCUAUUUUGUUGGUUUCUAGGACCGCUGUAAUGAUUAAUAGGGAUAGUCGGGGGCGUCCGUAUUCAAUUGUCAGAGGUGAAAUUCUUGGAUUUAUGAAGACGAACUACUGCGAAAGCAUUCGCCAAGGAUGUUUUCAUUAAUCAGUGAACGAAAGUUAGGGGAUCGAAGACGAUCAGAUACCGUCGUAGUCUUAACCAUAAACUAUGCCGACUAGGGAUCGGACGGUGGUUUUUUUAUGCCCCGUUCGGCACCUUACGA
rnacentral:rRNA from 1 species